UAAAGUAAAAACAAUUAACUAUGUUAAUAUAUAUUAUAUAUAGCGUGAACAGAGAGAGGACUGAGGCCCCAUCAGAGCUGAAGCUGACCAGAAAGAGAACUGAGUCCUCUUUCAAAUGAACUGAUAAUGUGAACACUUUUUCUGUUGGUCCACUUUUUGAUGUGCUUUCAGAGGACUGAGUUCGGUUUGUUUAAAAAGGACCUCAUGUGAAAACACCCUUCAUAAUCAAGAAAGUGUUCAUGGCUGAGAACCUCCUGUGUGUUUGAUGCGCUUCCUCCUUGUUAUCGGGAAUUGAGUUCAGGUGUGAUCACUUUGCCUGCACCGCCUGCAGCAGAGCCCUGGGCUCUCUGGCAGCAACUGUUUGACUGAGUAAAAACUGGAUGUUGUUGUGUACCUGGUGACGGGGGCGGCCAACGAUGGAGGGGAACACUGCUCUGGGGGCGUCAUCUCCGGCAAAGCCAGCCUUCACCAGGCCGGAGCCGUUGUCACAGACGAGGGCGGUGGUCUCAUCGUCGUCACACAUGUCUGCGGUAUCUGGAGGACAGAGGUCAGAAGGCGAGCUGGACCCUGAGAGCCAUCUGCAGCCGCUGUAGCUGUGAAAGUAGAUCAUCACGGAGGAUCCCCGUCAGGGUGGCAGUCAGCCAGCCGUGGAAUCUAUUUAUAACCAACAUCUGCCCCUCGUCACCAAACAGGAGGAAGUCCUGACUGCUGCCGGAUCAAGUUUCUGUCACUUUUGAGGUCUGACGACUCUGAUAUCAGAUGCACACUGCUGCAGAUCUUGGCUCAUUACUGCCACCUGCUGAUCAGUCAACUUUUUGGGUCCUAUCAACACAGUGUGCAGAUCUUUUGUUGGACUUUUAGGUUUAGUUUUUGUUUUGAUCCAGCACCUGAAGAAGAUUCGGACAUG